AUUCAAAUAGCUUAUAUAGAGCAUAAUAUUGAAGAUAUUAAGGAAAUUUAAAAUUUUUGGAUA
rnacentral:tRNA from 1 species